UCUUGAGGUUUUAGGUUCAUUGUUGUGUGGAAAGAGGCCAACACAAUGGAGAGGUACAAUAAAGAAGUUGAAAAAAGUUCCAAAUAGAAAAGUGCUAGAAAAGUUAAGGAUUAGUUAUGAUGUAUUAGAAAAUGGACAAAAAGAAAUAUUUUUGGAUAUCGCUUGUUUUUUCAUUGGCACCGAUGGAAGAAUUGCAUCUUACAUGUGGGAUGCCUGUGAAUUUUUUCCAGAGGAGGCAAUUGAAGUAUUAAGAUUUAUGUCAUUAAUAAAAUUUGGAGUUAAUCAUGAGCUCAGAAUGCAUGACCAAUUGCGAGAUCUUGGUAGGGAAAUCGUUCGCGAGGAAAACCAACAGGAGCCUUGGUACCGUAGCAGGUUAUGGGAAUCCAAGGAAAUCCAAAAAGUGCUGAAGGGAAAUAAGGGAACAGAAAAGAUCAGGGCCAUUUAUCUUAACAAAGGCAGCUCAGAAGACUUUGGCGAGACACCUGAACAUGCUGGCGAUAUCCUUACAAGUGAACAAUUCAAGAAUUUAACGAGGCUAAGGUUUCUUCACGUGAAUGGGGCACAUUUUAGUGGAGAUUUUAAAAACUCAAUUGAGGAGUUAAGAUGGCUUUAGUGGCAGAAUUGUCCCUUGACUUUUGAAGCAGAAUUCAUUUAAAGGAAUUAGUUGCACUUGAUUUGUCAAAAAGCAAGAUUUCAGAUAAAUGGGGAGGAUGGAAUUCCAUCAUGAUGGCAGAGGAGCUAAAGUUUCUUGACCUUACACGUUGUUCAUCUUUAGAACGAACAUUCUUCCUAUCAGCUUUUAAGAAUUUGGAGGUUCUUAUCCUAAAAGGUUGUUGGAGAUUGGAGCAAAUUGACUCUUCGAUUGGAGACAUGAAGAGUAUGGUUCGCUUGGACUUGACGGGAUGUAUUAGUCUCAAGGAGCUGCCACUAGAAGCGGGUAAAUUAAAAGCAUUGGAGCAACUCCUUUUACAAGGUUGUCAAAAUAUUUCUGUAGUACCAGACGAAAUAGGGGCUCUGCAGAAUCUAGAAAUUCUGAAUAUUAGUGGCACUGGGAUAAAAGAUUUACCCUAUGGUAUUGGAAAGCUGAGAAACCUCCGAAUCUUAGAUGCUUCAGGCUGCUAUAAACUGGGAGGGAAAAUGUCAGAAACAGAAAGCAUCCGUAGUCUUUCUUCCCUACCACGCCCUCAUUUUCAUGGUUACCGAAGGCUCCAAUUUCUGCUGGAGCUUCCUU